AAAAAGGGCUUCUGCUGUGAGUGGCAAAUGCAGGGACAGCUCGCUUGCUCUUUGUGCGGAAUCAACAUCAAGAGAUUUCAAAAGCAUGUUUGACAGUAGGGCCACUAGUGAACAUUGAUACUGGCACCCCA